CCAUGCUGUAAACGGUGGGCGCUAGGUGUAGGGGGCUUCCACGUCUUCUGUGCCGUAGCUAACGCAUUAAGCGCCCCGCCUGGGGAGUACGGCCGCAAGGCUAAAACUCAAAGGAAUUGACGGGGGCCCGCACAAGCGGCGGAGCAUGUGGAUUAAUUCGAUGCAACGCGAAGAACCUUACCUGGGCUUGACAUGCACUGGAUCGGGCUAGAGAUAGUCUUUCCCUUUGUGGCUGGUGUACAGGUGGUGCAUGGUUGU
rnacentral:rRNA from 1 species